rnacentral:rRNA from 1 species
CCUACGGGUGGCAGCAGUGAGGAAUAUUGGUCAAUGGUCGGGAGACUGAACCAGCCAAGCCGCGUGAGGGAUGAAGGUACAGAGUAUCGUAAACCUCUUUUGUCAGGGAACAAAGGCAGGGACGUGUCCCCGGAUGCGUGUACCUGAAGAAAAAGCAUCGGCUAACUCCGUGACAGCAGCCGCGGUAAUACGGAGGGUGCGAGCGUUAUCCGGAUUUAUUGGGGUUAAAGGGUGCGGAGGCGGUCAGUUAAGUCAGCGGGUAAAGACACGGGGUCAAACCCGGGCCGGCGUUUGAAACUGGCAGGCUCGAGUUGGGGAGAGGUAUGCGGAAUGCGCGGUGUAGCGGUGAAAUGCAUAGAUAUCGCGCAGAACUCCGAUUGCGAAGGCAGCAUGCCGGCUCCACACUGACGCUGAGGCACGAAAGCGUGGGUAUCGAACAGGAUUAGAUACCCGAGUAGUC